rnacentral:misc_RNA from 1 species
AUCUAUCAACCCAACAAAGAUGUAAAUCUUGUUUGGUGCUUGGAUAAUGAAGGUUGCUGGGUUAACAUCAGCUCCUUUUAAAUGCAUUAGCAGAACUUUGUAUCAGCUUUGGUUUGAUAAUAAUAUUAUCCGUGUCGUUGCUGGUAAACAAUGGUUCAGCUUCAAAUUGUCUCAGUGAUGAGACUGUCCAAUCUAUGGGCAUUAUUUUGACU